rnacentral:rRNA from 1 species
AUUGAUCGCUGGCGGCAGGCCUAACACAUGCAAGUCGAGCGGAUGAAGGGAGCUUGCUCCUGGAUUCAGCGGCGGACGGGUGAGUAAUGCCUAGGAAUCUGCCUGGUAGUGGGGGAUAACGUCCGGAAACGGGCGCUAAUACCGCAUACGUCCUGAGGGAGAAAGUGGGGGAUCUUCGGACCUCACGCUAUCAGAUGAGCCUAGGUCGGAUUAGCUAGUUGGUGGGGUAAAGGCCUACCAAGGCGACGAUCCGUAACUGGUCUGAGAGGAUGAUCAGUCACACUGGAACUGAGACACGGUCCAGACUCCUACGGGAGGCAGCAGUGGGGAAUAUUGGACAAUGGGCGAAAGCCUGAUCCAGCCAUGCCGCGUGUGUGAAGAAGGUCUUCGGAUUGUAAAGCACUUUAAGUUGGGAGGAAGGGCAGUAAGUUAAUACCUUGCUGUUUUGACGUUACCAACAGAAUAAGCACCGGCUAACUUCGUG